ACUAUUUAUUUUUCUAGGACCAUUUUGCCGAUGCGCCACUGUGUAGACUAGACACUGUGGACAGUGCGUAGACUUUACUUAAUCGACUCACCAAGCUAACCUGGCUUUUUUUUACAAGCCAGAUUUUCUUUGUUUUUGACAUGUUAUAGUUACUUCUCCUCAAGAAGAUGAAAAUACCCUAGUAAUCCAUAACUUAAAUGUUACUUUCGGAUCAAAAUUUACUUUAGAACUACAUGUCAGCUCUAUAUCUAGAAAAAUAACAUCUGGAAUAUUGUUCUGAGAAAUCCAUUCAGAACUGUGGACAGGCAGGUUGGUGCAAUUGCCCUCAUUCAUUCAGUGUGGUGUCACUCUGCUGACAGAAUCUUUGGAUUAUAGUGCAAAGCUGUUAGACUUCUGAGGUUAUAUUGGACACAGAGUUAGAUCAAGAAACCCAAAAAACUAUUGAAAAAAUGUCGCAACGAAAUAAUGAAGCUCUUGGUGAUUUCAUUUAAAUUUAUAAAAGUGAACCUUGCUUGUGGAAAGUGAAAGACAACGACUACCGCAAUAGAGGACAAGAGAGAUGGAACAUACAGAAAAUUAGUGAAUAAAUUAAAGAAAAGAUUAGAGCCUGAUGCAAACGAGACCUUGCAAAAAAAAUGAGAAGCAAUGUGCGAAAGGAGCAGAAGAAAAUUAAUUCCUCAAUGUAAUUGAAGGAACACUGUUGUUUGCGAUUCUUACGUCUGUUUUUCUUUCGCAAACAUCACACAAAAUAAAAUGAGAAACACCAGAUGAUCUGACAUACAUUAUAAACUAUUAAAUAUUAUAACUGUUAAAUUGUUGAUAUUACAUUCAGGAUAAUCAG